rnacentral:rRNA from 1 species
GAUCCUGGCUCAGGACGAACGCUGGCGGCGUGCUUAACACAUGCAAGUCGAACGGGAGUAUUGAAGAAGCUUGCUUAGAGAUACUUUAGUGGCGGACGGGUGAGUAACGCGUGAGGAGCUGUCCUAUGCAGGGGGACAACAGCUGGAAACGGCUGCUAAUACCCCAUAAGCCGAGAGGUAAAAGGAUCAAUCCGGCAGAGGAGGUACUCGCGUCCUAUCAGCUAGUAGGUGAGGUAACGGCUCACCUAGGCGAAGACGGGUAGCCGGCCUGAGAGGGCGAACGGCCACACUGGAACUGAGAUACGGUCCAGACUCCUACGGGAGGCAGCAGUGGGGAAUAUUGGGCAAUGGGGGGAAAAACCCCCUGACCCAGCGACGCCGCGUGGGUGAAGAAAUCCUUCGGGAUGUAAAGCCCUGUUGUAUGGGAAGAGCGGAAGACGGUACCAUACGAGGAAGCCCCGGCAAACUACGUGCCAGCCGCUGC